CGGCCGUACCAUGAAUAUACCGGUUCUCGUUAGAUCACCGAAGUUAAGCAUCAUUAGGCGCGGUCAGUACUUCACCUGGGAACACUCCGU